rnacentral:rRNA from 1 species
UACGUAGGGGGCAAGCGUUGUCCGGAAUCAUUGGGCGUAAAGCGCGUGUAGGCGGCUCGGUAAGUCCGCUCUGAAAGUCCGGGGCUCAACCCCGGGAGGCGGGUGGAUACUGUCGAGCUCGAGUCCGGAAGAGGCGAGUGGAAUUCCCGGUGUAGCGGUGAAAUGCGCAGAUAUCAGGAGGAACACCGAUGGCGAAGGCAGCUCGCUGGGACGUGACUGACGCUGAGACGCGAAAGCGUGGGGAACAAACAGG